GUAUCCGUAGCUCAACGGUAAAGCGCUGUCCCUCGGGACAGAGAUGUGUGGUUCCAGUCCCACCGGAUGCG
rnacentral:tRNA from 1 species